ACCUCUCACUUCUAGCACCUAACGAUAGUCCGAUAUAUUCUCAGUAUCGCACUAUAAUACGUGUGACCAUAUAAUACUAUUUAAGGUUUAACCGCAACUUCGUGCGCCAUAAGGAUAUGCAUUGCUAUAAAAGCAUUCAUCGUUUGCGACGCAUUAACAGUCUAGUGCGGGAAUUUAUUUUAUCAACUGUUAUUAUUCACUGCAGUUAGUAAAAACAUACAGGUGACUCGAAUUUCCACGGGGAAGGUACGACUAAUUCGAUAUACCUACGCAAUUUGAAGCACUUCUACGACGUUGUUCUAUGCUUUCUGAAGAAGGCUUAAAAUGAGCCGUAACGUGUAAGCACGCGAAGACUUCGAAUGUAUUAAAUUGGCUUUUUAGUUUAUUAUUAUUUUGCGCACUAAUUUCCGCGUCCGACUCCU